rnacentral:tRNA from 1 species
AGCAGUGUGGCUCAGUGGAAAGAGCAUGGGCUUGGGAGUCAGAGGUCAUGAGUUCUAAUCCCAUCCCUGCCA